UCCACCUCAAACUCUCUAAUUUUGCUCUCAGAGAUGGCAGAUCCAUGUGAGUAGAGUGUUUGGAAGAUCUCUUGGAUGUUGGAGCAGUCCUGAAGAGAGUGGGCCAGGUGUUCCGCCACACUGCUGGAUACCUGUACAGUUUCAAGUAGAGAAAAAAAACCUCCCUUAAAGUUGAAGAAGCAAUUCAGCAUGUGGAAACCUAUACAUUUUAGUUGAUGCUGCGGAAGGAAAUCAGGUCAGAUUAAAACAAGCCAAUGAAAGAAAGUAAAUACAAAGAUGAGAGCUCAGGAACAUCAGAGAUUAUGCGCAGCCAGAAAGUGAGAUACUGGCGCAAAGAAUUUGGUGCAAGAGCUGUCAAAGACAAACACCUGGUGAGGUGGGCACAGAGGCUGCUGAGGAACCUGGAGUGGAUAAUCAACAUGGCUGCAUCAGAGAAAGGUCAGCGUUUGGCUGUCUUCCUAAUUUCUUACCAGCUUUCCAACAAAUGGAGUCAGUUACUCUCUUUAUAGCCAAGCGUUCACCUUUAAACAGCCUGACCUCCUCACAGGAGCAGGGCUGGCAGAGGGAGGCCGGGCCAUAUGGAUGCCAAACACUGGCACCCACCACUAAAGUUACCUCACGCUUUCCAUGGCACGGAUGUGCACACGCCCUUCAGAGCAACUGCAACUAAUUCCAGAGACGACAUGAAAGAAUCGUAAUUCUGAGGGCUCUCUGCCUUGGAUCCCACUGAAAACUUCCUCAGACCACAGAGAGGAGGGCGACAGGUUCUACCAAUAAUGCUCUGUUGGGCUCAAAUCAAGAUAAAUAUAUGCCCAAAUGACUUCUUCUCUGUGAAACAAACUCAUUUUGUCUUCUUUAGUGUUGUCUUCAAAUGCCAGGAAGACUGAUGUGUGGAACCCCAUGGAAUCUGGCACCAUGUGACUAUAAUAACAUUUCUCAAUGUUUUACUAACUUCUUGUCUGUGUGGAAGCUGGAGGCAGAGUGGGGAAAGGGUGAAGAGUACAGGAGAGCAGUCCGAUCAUCAGAACGAUGAAGACUGCAUCUCAUAACGAGGCACCAGAGCUGAAGUUUGAGUGUUAAGAGCUAACGUCAGUGUAGACCAGGCAGGAUUAUGAAACCUCUGUGGGCUCAGUUUUCUCGUCUCCAGGAGGGGUGUAAUAAUCACACCUCUUGUAGGAUUCUGGUGCAGAUGAAAUGAGAGGUGCAUAAAUCAUUGCUCACCACAAGGAAAUGCUCAAAAUAUGUUCACUAUUACAAUUUAGGUUUUAAGUCCUGCUUUGCCUUCAGAAGUAUCUAUUUUUAGUCCAAGAGGGGAAUGUUUAGUCUGAAAAUGUUCAAAGAAGGUUAACGCUACCAAUACUAACAGGUCCUUAAAAAUACACUAUCAAGAUUGCAUUGAAGAAAAAAGACUAUUGGUAAGUGCACCUUGACGAACUGCCUGUCCCCCUUCGCUGGAUGGCACAGGAAGUUCUGCACUGUGCCAGGCAAUGCCUGCUUGCCCUUGGAGCCCCAGGGUGCCGAUGUCCUGCUGGAUUCCAGGAUGAGCACACCCCUCUCUGCCCUCCCUCCUCUGGCUCAUGUGACCCUGGAGAGUGGACAGAGCCCCUCCUUUUCAGAUGCAGGGUUCAUCACUGCUACACUCUGGGCCCCAGGAGGAGCAGGCCAGGUAUGAGGCGAAGGUGCCAGAAAGGCUGUGGUUCUCUCUCUUCACUGCACCUGUGGGGAGAGAGGUAAAGAGGCCUGGAGAGGCUCUCGGCUCAUGUCCAGUGGGUGACUGAAGGACACUGCCUUCUCUUUCCUGUCUCUGAGCACUUGUUGGGAUCACAGUGGGGGAGUGUGCUGGGGACCUACACUGCAUUCAUUGAUUCAGUGGCUCAUGGAAGGGCCUGGGCAUAUAUCCUUUGAAAGAGCUUCCCAAUGAUUCUGACACACACGUGGAGAGCCACCACAAGAUGGAUGAGUGAAAAGGCCUGUUUCUCUGGCACUCUGGUUCAUGUCUAAGUCUAUCUGGUAUCCCACUCAAAGCAAAUAAGCCACCUGUGUUUGGAAUCUUUACUGCUCAACAAACAUUCCCAUGCUCUUCCCUAUUUCCCAGCCCCUCUAUGGUUAGGUAGAGGGUCUGGUUCUGGCCAAUGGGCCAUGAGUGGAAGCAUUUAAGUGCAGGGGUGAGUCCGUUCAGUGAUGUUUAGAUGAUGGGUUGCCAUCAGCCUGGGUUCCUGAGUGAAUAUACGGAACAGAGCUGUGCGCCUAUCCCCAAAACUUCACUGGACGUGGAGUACAAGCAAGAAAUAAGCUUUCCUGGUGUGCCAUGCCACUGAAUUUUGGGGGGUUAGUUUGUUACUGCUGUAUACCUAUCAUUACUCUGACUAAUAUAUCAGCCAUGCAAAGAAGAGUCAGUUAAGACUCCCAAAUUGACAUUGGGGAGGAGAGUACUGGAGCCAGACCCCACUCCUCUGAGCUCCCUCCUACACGGCCAGAUUAGGGCUGGGAGUGUUAAAACAGGGUUUGUUUUAUACAAAUAUUUUGUGAAUUUAAACUUAGCUAAUACUGGCAUCUUCUUCCUCAUCAUAUAAAGAAACUCCUAAGAAGAAAUAGAACAAAUAAGACAUAAACAAAGUUCCAUCAAGGACAAAAGAGAAGACUGUGCUUGUGUAUGAACAUCAGGUUGUUAAAGCUGGAAGACACAGAUCAACGUCCAUAAUCCAUACUGCAUUUGUUAAUUUGAAAAUUAAGGAAGAAUAUAAAGAAGAAAAAUAUGGCUAUCGUUUCACUGUCUGAUUUAGCCUCUGUUAAUAUUUUGGCAUAUUAGCUUCUCCCCUAUUUCUAUGUGUUUACUUGUACAUAGUAAAAUUUAUAUAAGAAUAUAUUCAUGUCAAAAAUACACUAGAACACUAUAGAAAAGUUCAAGCCCUUUGACCUAUACUCCUAGGAGCUUGCCCCCAUCCCCAAAUAACUAUUAUUAUGAGACUGGUUUAUGUUGUUCUUGUCUAUUUAAGAUAUUUUUACACAUACACAUAUAUAGUUGAUGUAAAUUUAUACACAGAUAAAUUCAAAGUAAAUACAAAGUACUGUUCUGCAGUCCUGCAUUUUCCAUAUACAGACACUGUGGUCCAGAAAAGCAUCAUGGAGGGGGAGGCAGUGUGGGAAGAGCCCAGAUGGGACAUAAGGCCAAAUAAGGUGAAACAAAGAUGAAUCUUUAUUUAACCUACGGUGAGGUCACAACGAUUUCACUUCCAGAAAUAUCUCUACUGUUACCGAUUUUUAGUUAAAAAUAUCAAAGAGAUAUUGACUUAGUAUAUAACAGGAGACAAUGCAGACAAAGUGAACAGCUGCUUCAGAGACAGACCACGCUCUGGACACAUCAGGAUGAUACUGCAAAUGUUCUUUCCCAGUAGGGAUGGGCAGCCUAAUAGUAAAUAUAUAUUAUAAAUGAACUAAUUAGUAGAAAGAAGUACAUAAUAAAAUACACAGUCAACCUUUAAGGUAAUUACUCUUUGUAAGCAGGUCCCUUGGUUUAAUUUGGAUUCCUCUUGUCAACUCCUUUAAGCAUGAUCAUAGAGUGGCAAGUGGCAAGAGAUAACCCGGGUGACUACUGAAGGUGGAUUCGAUUCAGUGUUUAAAAUCAGUUCAGUAUUUAGAAAGUAGCACCAAUGGAUUCAGAACUAACAGCUCUGGGGGAGGACCUUCGGGCCAUAUAAGAGGAUGCCCUGUAAAUCGCCUCAGUCAGUGAGUUCAUGGGACAAGUGCUAGAUCUGCGUGUUGCACACUUGGAUGAGCAAAACAGUGCUGAAUCCCCUACAACCUCCAGGAUCUCUACUGUAUGAGAAUGACG